GUCUUGCGCAUGUGCGCUCAUCCGUGAGCUACUUGCGAGAGAGAGCGCGCACGAGCGACAGGAAGUCGUUACACAAACACACGCAUACCGUUACCAAACGCCGUCUCCGCUUUCCUUUCUCAUUUUUCUUUCCGCGUUCCUGUUUGCCUCGCCCUCUCCCGUGGGCGGGCACUUGCGUGCACACAUCUGCCCAUGGUUUCCUCGGUGUGCUGCGAAGUCACUCACCUCCUGGCUGUGGUCUCCUCGCCCGUCCCUCAUUCUCCUUUAUAUCGCAUUUCUUUUGUUAGGGCCGCACACAGAUCGCCAUGCCUACGAAACGCGCAAAAAAAGAAGCGGCAGACGCGGCGGCUGGUGAAUCUGCUGCGGGGAAGCGAAGCCGCAGCACCACUGCCGCUAUCAAGGCACCUGACGCCGAGCACAAUACCCUUGAGGAGGCGCAGCUCUCCUCCUCGUACUCCCCUGCCCGCUCCAACUCCGAUUCGAGCUCGGUCGUGUCGAUUCUGCCGCCACCUGCACCCAUCGACGUCGAUGCAGAAACUUGUGAGGCACCUGUGAAGAUAAAGUCGAGACGAGCCACGCGUCAAACCACGCUGGCGGGAGAGGUACUCAGCACAGAAGCGGAACCCUCGCGCGUCGCCACGAAGCAAUCACGCGCUCGAGGCGUCGCGGAUGGGCAGAAGGGAGGCUCAGCUGGAGAGCUGAAGCGGGUUGCCGGCUCAGCACGAUUAUCUCGGAAGAGAGCCGCCUCGUCGAUGCGGUUGGAGGGCCCCGCUGAGGCACCGCUUCUGGAAGAAGCGCUGCUGGUACACAUGCGCUCUGCGUUGGCUCGCAACUUCAUGCUGAUUACGGAACGCACCAUUGAGCUUGCUGCACAACCGCAUGCACACUGCAUCGUGGGUGACUUGGAUACCCUUCCCGGGACAGCGGCGGUUGGAGAGACAGCGGAACCUGCUGACGACGACGUCACCAGCGCUAAAUCACUAAUGCUGGACGCAAGAGGCGCCAGCAGCAUAGCUAUGCGGGCGGUCUUGCCAUGUGUUCAAUACUUCAUCGUUAGCGAGUGUGCUCGUGUUGCCCGCGUGGUGCGCGAGGAGGGCGGCAACGGGUACGGCGACGACCCGGCGACCCGAGCAGCGGAGCUGCUCGGCUUUCUUCUCUCCAUGCUUGACAAGUAUGACACGUUCUCCGACCUCCUUGUUUUGGCGUGCCCGUCUUGCCGCGUCGCAGGGGUGAGCUACUCGGCCUUCUCAUUUUUGACGCAGUAUUUGGCGUUGUCGCAGCGUGCGAGUGCGGAAGAGAUACACCUGAUGGACCAGAAAAGCCUGAUCGAGCGUCUGGGGUUGCUGGACGGGUGUCGCGCCACCACUGGGCAGCCGUUGGAUGUGAUGGAAUGCUGUCCUUUCGGUGAAGCACACCUCUCCCUCUACCUCUUGGUCCGGACGAGCUCGGGAGAGAGGCACAGCUGGCGUCUCAGCAGACUUUGGUGGCAGCACGUACCUUUUCAGCUUCUAUCCUUCCCCGCCAUCGCCGAGGCGGCAAAGGCGUUCGAUGCGUGCAUGGUCCGAUACACGGCGGAUCGCACACGCGAUUUGAUACGGUACCAGCACAUGGUGGCCAACUCAAGCGGAAAGUGGGCACCACCGACAAGCAAACCAGCAAAGUCACCGAAGUUCACUGCAGCUCAGCGUGCGCUUAUCAAGCCCAAGGCCGGUUGUCUAACGUGGGCCGAGGCGCUGCUCCGCGCGAUCCUGCCAGAGACCGCCAUGCAUCCGUGGCACCGCAAUUCGGAAGACCUUCAGUCACGCAUCCGACGCUGCUACGCUUACACGUGCGCGGAUGUCAAUCACGGCGGAUAUUUCUCCGUGACACUGGAGCCAACGCUUUCCCUGUUGUUCUCUACGUUCGGUACAGGGUCGUUCACGAGCACGGCCAGCUUUGUGCAGGCAAGGCUGCUUUUUGCCCACAUGAAGGUGUGUCAGCACGUGGCCGAGGCACUGCUACGUGGUGGCUGCUGCUCGUGCCACAGUCGUCAUGAUGCCGCUGCUGCAGAAGUACUGUUUGUGGAGGCACACGGUCCGUUCAUGACGGCGCUGCGCCACUGCCGUGAUGAGUCGUACCUCCUCACGGACAACGAUACAGUGACUCUGGGUAGAACGGCCGGCGCCGCGGUAGACGCAGAUGCUGCCGAAGAGACGACGACAGCGCCUGGGGCGGUCUCUGCGGGUGGCUGUCAAGAAGCCGCAACCUUCUACGCCGCGGGCUCUUUUUCCCGGUUUCAGACAACGUUGGAGCUUGCAGGGUCGAUGAACGCGGCGCAGAUAGUGAACUACGUGACGCAAGUGACCGCAGAGCCGACAGAAACGCUGCCCGCUGCGCAGAUGCCGCGGCAGUACAUUCGAGCGGAGCUGAAGCGGCAUCAGCUGGAGAAUGUGCAGCGGAUGUGGAAUAAGGAGUGCGAAGGCUAUCGCGAGCACGUGUCUGUCCCGCUUUACCACGUCGACACUGCAGCGAUGCCGGCAGCACGCCAGGUCGGAGUCAUGUACUACUGUGCAGCGACGAAUGAGACCAUCGUUGUGCGUGGCAAUGGCGGCCCUGUGGUCGCAGGACGGGAGGCGGAGGCGGAGGCGUGGAAAGCGUGGAAUGCGGCGGGUGGACGCAUCCGCGGUGGCUUGCUAUGCGACGACGUAGGGUUGGGCAAGACGCUGUCGAUACUCACGCUGUGCGCUUACGAUAGGGCAAUGCGCGAGGCCGGCAACAGUGACGGAGAAGAGGCUGAAGCCUUGGGGGGUGAGAUAGCGCUAGCGGCGCGAAAGGUUUGGCAGGUGUCGGCAAAGACAGAAACGAUGCGCAACUGCAUGCUGUGGUCCACCCGAGAGGUGCUCCACUGGGCAUUUGGCAACUUCCGCGCCGGGAUCGUGCCCCACCCCACUGCGCCAACGCGGCUACCGCACACAACGCUGGUCGUGGUGCCGCUGUCGAUCGCGACACAGUGGAUCGAGGAGAUCCACAAGUUCUACCCAACCGCAUCCUACAUUCUCUUCUACGGUGCCAAGCGGGCGCAGUACACGGCGGCCGACAUGCGGCGCGCCGACUUCGUCAUCACAACGUACGAGACGCUGUCGACGCACCUGCGCCAGGAGGCGUGCGGGCUGCAGUUUUGGCUGGGGCAUGUGGCCGAUGAGGCAGAUGAUGCCGUGUGUGCGAAGGCUGCAUCGCAAGGCUGGUCAAACUUGAUGCCGUCGGAGCUCUUUGCGGCCGUGCAGCAGUACGCCAGCGACGUGGUGUGGCCGGCAGCAGGGGGGAUGAGGGAAGCUGGAGGCACCGGCAGAAGGCCGGAGAUGACGCAUAUUUGCGACUGCGCAGUGGUGCCACUACCGCAAAGUGGCCAGAGGACUUGUGGCAGCCACAGGAGCGGUGGCCGUGACCACGCUCCACUGGGUAGCGGAGAAAAGCUACAGGUGUCCUCGCCCGCGAGCGACACCACCACCUCCUCGAAUACGUGGACGCUCGAGCUCGACGCUGUCGAUGGUGUGUCAGUGUUCCGCUGCCCCACCCUCUCCAUCUCCGUGGCCUUUGACAAUUCAGUGGUGGAUGCGACUGCGAGGUCCGUCGACCGCCACACGCGUUUGCCAGGCACCGGCGCCGUCAGUAACGCGUUUCUCGACCAUACGUGGGAGCUGCUGAGGGUCUAUAGCGCGACAACAACUUCCCUACCCGUGUGGCAAGACACUGUCACGCAGUGCCGACUCUUCGAUGAUCAAGGCUCGCCGAGCGACACUUCGGUCUUUCUGGCGCUCCUGUACCACGCUGCCGAGGAGUACACGCUACCCGACUCCACACGCCGCGAGCUGGUGCGCCGCGUGUUGCUUCCGCCGCUGUGGAGGGUGCUGGCGGAGUACUGGGUCGAUAUGAAAGCGCACUACGCCGACGUGGCCCUGGCCGAGACGACGGGGCGUUCCGCGCUGCGCAUCACCGACCUGCUCUUCCGCCGCGUUGUGCUGGACGAGUCGCAGAAGUGCGGCGCCACGAGUCUCUUCCACCUGCUGAGUGGCGAGCGUCGCUGGGCCGUGACGGGCACCCCGCUCAACAACAACAAGACGGAGUCGCUAGGGUUCGCAUUGCGCUUUCUCGGGAUGCACAGCGCGGCGCGGCUGCUUAGUCGGCCUCCAUUCCGCCACGCAUCCUUGACCCAUGCCUAUCUGAACACGCACAACGUGUUUUCAGCGUCCGACGCGGCUGGCCAUUCUCUAGCCGACUCAGUGAAUCGGGGUCUGCGCUCCCUGUGGGUGCGUCGUCACUCCGAUACCCUCCCGGUAUCGGUGGCAAACGGCGUUGCAUUUUGUUUAUGCGCCCAGUGCAUGCAGCGCGACCUCUACAAUGCCUCGGAGGCGAGUUUAACGAACAUUCCCUCCGAAUACCGGCUAUGGACGCCUCCGCGCGACCUCCAAGUCGGUUUGCCGUGCCUGCCGAACAGUCUUUUUGAAGUGCUUACUCUCACCAUGGUGCGGCAUGAGCGCAAUGAGCAGGUGAGUCGCGAGCUUCAGUUGACCCCUGCACGCUAUCAAGUUCAUUCUGCGCCCCUCACCGCGGACGAGAUGCGCCUGUAUGACCGCGUCGCUCUCGUUAUCAUGAACGUUGCGGCGCGCCUGCAUCGCCAGGGUAUCCUGUCAUCACGGAUGGGAUAUGUCAUGCAGUGGGUGCAGGAUUUGUGUCGACUGUGCCUGCAUCCGUCACGAGUGGGCAACGACAAGCUGCUACGCGGAGACAUCGAGGCGCAUAUGUUGCGAGGGGUCCGGCUCACGAGCGACAAUGGCGUCUGCGGCGCCGGUAUUACCGAGGUGCUGGCGGCCUCCUUCGUCGCAGCAACACCGCAGGAGGCGUUGGAGUGGGUCAAGUUGAUGGCAGCAUCGCGCAAGCCUAGUCUCCUCAGCGACUCAAGUGUACCAGAGGAAACGGCGACGACGCUGGCCGAGCUGGCGCAGGUGCCGCCACUGCUGCCGCAGUGCGGUGUUUGCAUGGACAGCAUGGCGGUGCCGACCCUUUUGAAGUGCUUCCACAUGUUCUGCAAGGAGUGCGUGCUUGGCGUUAUUGACGCGAGCCGAGAGGUGGCAGGCAACGUGAGCGCCAAGUGCCCGUACUGCCGCGAUCGCAAGUCGAUGCUGGAGGAGAAACGCGUCGUGGCGGUUGACACAGCGGCACCAGUGGAAGCAGCGGCGGAGACGAGGCACGAUGACGACUGCUGCCGAACGGCAACUGCGCACUCAGGCGAUGAGGAAGUGGAUGUGGUGCUGGCAUGCAUCGGUGACGGCAGCCGCGUGCGCGCUUUUUUGGAAGUGGUGGAGGAGAUCUGGCGCACGCAGCCGGAUGACGGUGUGCUGGUGUUCUCCAAGUAUCCCGCUUUUCUGAAGCUGGCGCACGAUGCGGUGGCAGCGCAGGGCUACGCGCCGCACAUGGUGUGCGGCGCCUCAUCGCUGGCGCAGCGGCAGCGUGCAAUGCGUGCGAUGCAGCCGCCCAGUGGUGCCUCGGUACUGUCGCAGCGCCGUAUUCUGUUUGUCACGUCGCGCAGCGCAAACGCCGGCCUCAACUUGACCUUCGCCAACCACGUCGUUUUCCUUGAGCCAAACCUCAACCCUGCCAUCGAGCAGCAGGCCGUCGGGCGCGUGCACCGCUUUGGCCAGCUCAGGCAGGUCAUCGUGCACCACUUCUUCGCACCUCACACCAUCGAGGAGGUCAUAUACCGGCGGUCUGUCCGGCUGCGCGAGCAAGCGGCGCAGGAACCGCAAAGCCCAGUUUCAGCAACAAUGCCUGGCUCUCAUACAAGGGAUUCCGAUGCGCUGCAGAGGCGCACGCAGUUUGGCCGCAUCGCACCUGCGGAGGCGUUGCUGCUGCUCGAGUAUCCUGUGCCGCCGCAGACUGCGUAGUGAGCGGAGUGCGCAUUCGUGUGUACUUUAUUCUGCGUUGUCUCUUAGCUCUAUAUGCAUCUCCUUG
rnacentral:misc_RNA from 1 species